AGGGCACCACCAGGAGUGGAGCCUGCGGCUUAAUUUGACUCAACACGGGAAAUCUCACCAGGCCCGGACACUGGAAGGAUUGACAGAUUGAGAGCUCUUUCUUGAUUCAGUGGGUGGUGGUGCAUGGCCGUUCUUAGUUGGUGGAGCGAUUUGUCUGGUUAAUUCCGGUAACGAACGAGACUCUGGCCUACUAACUAGACGUUAGAUCCUUUAUGGGUUUGACGAUGCUUCUUAGAGGGACGGGCGGCUUUUAGCCGCACGAGAAUGAGCAAUAACAGGUCUGUGAUGCCCUUAGAUGUUCUGGGCUGCACGCGCGCUACACUGAAGGAAUCAGCGUGCUAAAACCAUUGUCGAAAGGCAUUGGUAAACCCAUCAAAAUCCUACGUGAUUGGGAUCGGGAAUUGCAAUUAUUUCCCUUGAACGAGGAAUUCCCAGUAAGUGUGGGUCAUAAGCUCGCGUUGAUUACGUCCCUGCCCUUUGUACACACCGCCCGUCGCUGCCCGGGACUGAGCCGUUUCG
rnacentral:rRNA from 1 species